GAUGAACGCUGGCGGCGUGCCUAAUACAUGCAAGUCGAGCGAACAGACGAGGAGCUUGCUCCUCUGACGUUAGCGGCGGACGGGUGAGUAACACGUGGAUAACCUACCUAUAAGACUGGGAUAACUUCGGGAAACCGGAGCUAAUACCGGAUAAUAUAUUGAACCGCAUGGUUCAAUAGUGAAAGACGGUUUUGCUGUCACUUAUAGAUGGAUCCGCGCCGCAUUAGCUAGUUGGUAAGGUAACGGCUUACCAAGGCAACGAUGCGUAGCCGACCUGAGAGGGUGAUCGGCCACACUGGAACUGAGACACGGUCCAGACUCCUACGGGAGGCAGCAGUAGGGAAUCUUCCGCAAUGGGCGAAAGCCUGACGGAGCAACGCCGCGUGAGUGAUGAAGGUCUUCGGAUCGUAAAACUCUGUUAUUAGGUAAGAACAAAUGUGUAAGUAACUAUGCACGUCUUGACGGUACCUAAUCAGAAAGCCACGGCUAACUACGUG
rnacentral:rRNA from 1 species